AGGGAAGGAACAUCUGACUCUUGGCUCCCACUAAGAUGCUGCCAGAGCGGCUGGUCUCAAAGGGCAAAACAACAGCCCCUGAUGGAAAGUCUUCACGACGCAGCCUCCGAGGUCCUUCCGCUCAAGGAGCAUUUCUCAAGGAUGGAUCAUAACUGACUAUUGUGUGUCUCAAGGUUGGCUCCAAACCAGCAGAAGCUGAAUAAAGAACUGUGAACUUGGAAUGACUGUGGGACGCUAGGCUCUUACUGGUCCUAACUGAAGACUUUUUCCCAACAGCGAGCAAUGGGGCUUCUUUUAACCAACUCUAUUUACAACCUUAGAUUCAUUCCGUUCUUUGCAAAGUACUGGAUUUCAACACUUAAUUAGCAAUAACCACAUGAACCUACCCUGGCAAGCCCUUUAACAACUCUGAAUUUUCCCUCUCAGUGAGCUACUACUUAAUUCAGUAAAUUUCUCCCUAUCCUGUAUUCCUGUGGCUAGCAAGUCAAUAGACUCAGCUUUUAUUUUAUUUUGAGUUGGAGUCUCGCUCUGUCAUUCAGGCUAGAGUGCAGUAGCUUCAUUUUGGCUCACUGCAACCUCUGCCUCCCGGGUUCAAGCGAUUCUCUUGCCUCAGCCUCCUGGGUAGCUGGGACUACAGGCAUGUGCCACCAUGCCCAGCUAAUUUCUGCAUUUCUAGUGGAGAUGGGGUUUCACCAUGUUGGCCAGGCUGGUCUUGAACUCCUCACCUCAAGUGAUCCACCGGCCUCGGCCUCCCAAAGUGCUGGGAUUACAGGCAUGAGCCAGUGCUCCUGACCUCAACUUUUAAUUUUUAUCUAUCGAUCUAGUCUAUUAUUACCCGCUACUUACCUACCCAUCCAUCCAUUCAUCCAUCCAUCCAUCUGCCCAUCCUUUUUUUUGUUUAUUAGCUCUGGUCUUUGUUAUAUUUGUUGAUAGGCCCAAGUAAAUUAGUAUGUGUAAAACUCACUUAAAACAGUGCUUAGCACAUGGUAAGCAUAAUAUGUGAUAGCCCUUAUGAUCUAGUAACUCACCAGUAUCUUGUGUGUAUUAGAACAAUGUGUCUCUGUAAUAUUUUAAUUAUAUCUCUAUAAGAGCAUACAUAAAUGACAAUAUAUAAAUCUCAAUAACAGAAUGUUUCUAACCCAAGUUUUAAGUAAUGAUAUGUGUUCAGGAAUACUUCAUCUGGCAUCUAGGGGAAUGGUUGGGAAGAUUUUGAGCUUCUCCAGUGGGAAAAAGGCUGGCAUAUUCAGGUCUAACUUCAGAGUCAAAGUCUUUGAAGUUAAUAAAUAGUUUUUAAUUUUGA
rnacentral:lncRNA from 1 species